ACGAACAGAGAUAAUAUUUUUCUUCGAACCAUUUUCACAUUCUCCACUACAUUUUUCUUAGAUCCUCUCGAUCUUUUCUUACUAAGUCACUCUGUUCAUGGUGUCACCAAUAAUCUAAAGAACCUUAAUCUGAAAGAGGAAAAGGACAGAAAACUUCCACCUCUUUGCUCAACCUAGAAAUUCACUAACUACCCUUUACAUGUUUUCCUCUAUCUACUGUUUCCCUAACACUCAAAAUCUUUUCUUUCGAGUUUCCCUUCCUUCCUUUCCCUUCCAUUUACACAAAGGUUCCACCUCCACCCAAAUUCUCCGAUUCUAGUCUCCUGGAGUUGUUAAGCAUAUUUCAACGUACGGUCAACAAUUAUUACGGGGCUUCUUUUGCUUCCACAAAUGGAGACUGCACACUAUCCGCAUCCGAAUCACUUCCUGAUGAACUCCCUGACUCUGAAUCACUAGAAGAAGAACUGCGUGCCAUACAAAACUCGAAGGGCACAAGAUCAUUUCAGAGGGAUAUGAUCUCUUUCUCCCUUCGC